GACGAACGCUGGCGGCGUGCCUAAUACAUGCAAGUCGAGCGGACCUCUUCGGAGGUUAGCGGCGGACGGGUGAGUAACACGUGGGCAACCUGCCUGUAAGACUGGGAUAACUUCGGGAAACCGGAGCUAAUACCGGAUAAUCCUUUCCCUCUCAUGAGGGAAAGCUGAAAGACGGUUUCGGCUGUCACUUACAGAUGGGCCCGCGGCGCAUUAGCUAGUUGGUGAGGUAACGGCUCACCAAGGCGACGAUGCGUAGCCGACCUGAGAGGGUGGUCGGCCACACUGGGACUGAGACACGGCCCAGACUCCUACGGGAGGCAGCAGUAGGGAAUCUUCCGCAAUGGACGAAAGUCUGACGGAGCAACGCCGCGUGAGCGAAGAGGCCUUCGGGUCGUAAAGCUCUGUUGUCAGGGAAGAACAAGUAUCGGAGUAACUGCCGGUACCUUGACGGUACCUGACCAGAAAGCCACGGCUAACUACGUGCCAGCCGCCGCCGUAA
rnacentral:rRNA from 1 species